rnacentral:rRNA from 1 species
UACGUAGGCAGCAAGCGUUGUUCGGAGUUACUGGGCGUAAAGAGCUCGUAGGUGGUUUGUCGCGUUGUUCGUGAAAUCUCACGGCUUAACUGUGAGCGUGCGGGCGAUACGGGCAGACUAGAGUACUGCAGGGGAGACUGGAAUUCCUGGUGUAGCGGUGGAAUGCGCAGAUAUCAGGAGGAACACCGGUGGCGAAGGCGGGUCUCUGGGCAGUAACUGACGCUGAGGAGCGAAAGCGUGGGGAGCGAACAGG